AGUUACAACCUCUUUCAUCCCAGAGGUACCAGAGAACUGUGCUUGUAUAACUCAAUAGCCUCAUGCAGCUGCAGCAACAGCAGAAGCUCACAGUGACCCAGCCCGCUGCUGGGUGUUGAAACAGCAAUGAAUCUUUCUAGAGAGCAGCCCUUGCCCAAUGCCACCAUGAGAAGGGAAGCCCUAUCACAAGGGUAAACAACAGUCCAGACUGACAAGUCCUGGAGAAUAAUACCCACAGUAACAACCACCUCUGAGAGAAGGCUUGUGCUUGACACGCUUCAGAGAGAGUAAUCUUUAACAAAGGCAGACUCCACGGCAAGGGUCCAGGCUGACCCCAGAGCUGCAGGAGCUGCCGGUGGCUUUGGCACUGCAGAGACAAAUGCCAGCUUUGCACAGUGCCAGUCCUACCACACCGUGCUAGAGGCAGCUGCCCGACAGAGAAAGUAGGAUACUGUCCUCAUUUGUAAUAAACCACCUCAGAAGAAAAACAAGUUUUCUGGAGUGCUCUAGGAACAACAAGACUUUUCACUAACGGCCUCGGUGGUGGCUGCCGGAGUUGAUCUCAUCUGCACAACGCUUCAUCCCCACAGAAAGCCUGACAUUUCUCUCCAGAAAGGGACACUUUGGUCUCAGGUGCUUGUCCCAGGUGCCAAAGAGGGCCCUGUCACCACAGUCCCCAUGCUGUGGGGACACCCAGCACGUCCGGGGGGCACCCACAGCCAGAGGGUGCCUGAGGGCUGCCUGAGGCAAGAUGGCGCCCAAGGGAAGUGGCGGAGGAAACAGCGCCGUCCCCUGCUCAGCGCAGCCCUCCCGGGCAGCCUGGGGCCUGCAGGAGCUGGGGACACUGCUCUGGGGGGAUGUGGAUCUCCAUGUCUGUUCUGAGCUGACUGGUUCUGAUGCCUAACAGAUUUCAGACCACUCAAGUCUCUCCCAGUUCUGAGGAUUUAAACAAGGUUUUAAAUUGCAAAUAUGAAUAAAGUUGCUUAACCUUAUCUGCAUUUAAGACCUUCAUGCUGAGCUUUGUCUGCUGUGCUUUGUGUGGAGCUCUCACACAGACACGGUACCUGCUGAGGUAUUACAGUAAAUG